rnacentral:rRNA from 1 species
AAGAACGACCCGCGAAUCGUCAUUGCGUACUAGACAGAGCCCGUGAGCACCUAACGCUCAUGGGACUCGCGUCGCGUCGGCGUGGGUGUACUCGAGACCAGCGUCGUACCGGCGGACAAACAACUUCAGCACGGAUCGUGCCAAGGAGCUGCAUGGAGAGAAUCGUCGUCCCACGCCUUUGAUAGCCCUCGAUGCGGGACGGGGGGCGGGGGAUGUACGCAAUCUCUACUCUAGUCUAAACGACUCUCGGCAACGGAUAUCUCGGCUCUUGCAUCGAUGAAGAACGUAGCGAAAUGCGAUACUUGGUGUGAAUUGCAGAAUCCCGCGAACCAUCAAUUCUUUGAACGCAAGUUGCGCCCGAAGCCAUUCGGCCGAGGGCACGCCUGCCUGGGUGUCGUGAAUCCCCUUGCCCCUAGGCACCCCGCAUGAGCAUUGGCGGGGAUAUACGCUCGGGCGCAGAAUAUGGUCUCCCGUGGGAUCGGCAUGCACGGCAUGUCGUGGUGCGGUUGGCCGAAAAUCGAGCAAUGGCGGUGACGGGCACCACGGCGUUCGGUGGAUCGAAUGAGAUUGGCUGCGCCGUGGGCUCGGCACUAGGCGGGCUCGGACUUUUAGUAUCCACGAGUGCGAUCCCAGUCAGCGGGGCUACCCGCUGAGUUUAAG